UUAGGCGGACGGGGUGAGUAACGCGUGGAAAACCUGCCGUAUACUGGGGGAUAACACUUAGAAAUAGGUGCUAAUACCGCAUAAGCGCACAGCUUCGCAUGAAGCGGUGUGAAAAACUCUGGUGGUAUACGAUGGUUCCGCGUCUGAUUAGCUAGUUGGUGGGGUAAUGGCCUACCAAGGCAACGAUCAGUAGCCGGCCUGAGAGGGUGAACGGCCACAUUGGGACUGAGACACGGCCCAAACUCCUACGGAAGGCAGCAG
rnacentral:rRNA from 1 species